GCUGGGGCCUCCCAAGGUUUGAAAGGCUUUCCUCAGCAUCCGGGACCCAACAGAGACCAGAUUCUAGCAUCUAAGGAGGCCGUUCAGCUGUGAAGAAGGCCUGAAGCACAGGAUUAGGACUGAAGCGAUGACAUCUCCUUCCCUACUUCCCCUUGGGGCUCCCUGUGUCAGGGCAGAGAGUAGGUCUUGUGGCUGGUCUGGCUUGCGGCACGAGGAUGGUUCUCUCCGGUCACAGCCCGAAGUCCCACAGCAGUCCUAAAGGAGGCUUACAACUCCUGCAUCACAAGAAGAAGGAAGCCAGUGCCAGCUGGGGGGAUCUGCAGCUCCCAGAAGCUCCAUGAGCCUCAGCCACCCCGCAGACUGGGUUCCUCGCCAAGCUCGCCCUCUGGAGGGGCAGCCAGCCUCCCACCAAGGGCCCUGCGACCACAGCAGGGAUUGGGAUGAAUUGCCUAUCCUGGAUCUGCUCCAGAGGCCCGAGCCACCUGCCUGAGGAAGGAUAAGUCAGGAGACACCGUUCCCAAAGCCUUGACCAGAGCACCUCAGCCCACUGACCUUGCACAAACUCCAUCUGCUGCCAUGAGAAAAGGGAAGCCGCCUUUGCAAAAAAUUGCUGCCUAAAGAAACUCAGCAGCCUCAGGCUCAAUUCUGCCGCUUCUGGUUUGGGUACAGUUAAAGGCAACCCUGAGGGACUUGGCAGUAGAAAUCCAGGGCAUCCCCUAGGGCUGGCAACUUCGUGUGCAGCUAGAGCUUUCCCUGCAAGAAGUUUCUGGGCCCAGAACUCUCCACCAGGAAGCUCCCUGCUGUUCGCUAAGUCCCAGCAAUUCUCUAAGUGAAGGGAUCUGAGAAUGAGGAGGAAAUGUGGGGUAGAGAUUUGGUGGUGGUUAGAGACAUGCCCCCCUCAUUACUGCCAACAGUUUCGGCUGCAUUUUUCACGUACCUCGGUUCCUCUUCCUGAAGUUCUUGUGCCCUGCUCUUCAGCACCGUGGGCCUUAUCCGGUAGGCUCUGGGAUCUCCCCCUUGUGGGGCAGGCUCUUGGGGCCAGCCUAAGAUCAUGGUUUAGGGUGAUCAGUGCUGGCAGAUAAAUUGCAAAGGCACGCUGGCUUGUGACCUCAAAUGACAAUCCCCCCAGGGCUGGGCACUCCUCCCCUCCCCUCACUUCUCCCACCUGCAGAGCCAGUGUCCGUGGGUGGGCUAGAUAGGAUAUACUGUAUGCCGGCUCCUUCAAGCUGUUGACUCACUUUAUCAAUAGUUCCAUUUAAAUUGACUUCAAUGGUGAGACUGUAUCCUGUUUGCUAUUGCUUAUUGUGCUAUGGGGGGAGGGGGGAGGAAUGUGUAACAUAGUUAACAUGGGUAAAGGGAGAUCUUGGGGUGCAGCACUUCAAUUGCCUCGUAACCCUUUUCAUCAUUUCAACCACAUUUGCUAAAGGGAGGGAGCAGCCACGCGGUUAGAGGCCCUUGGGGUUUCUCUUUUCCACUGACAGCCUUUCCCAGGCAGCUGGCCAGUUCCCCAUUCCCUCCCCAGCCAGGUGCAGGCGUAGCAAUAUGGACAUCUGGUUGCUUUGGCCUGCUGCCCUCUUUCAGGGGUCCUAAGCCCACAAUCAUGCCUCCCUAAGACCCUGGCAUCCUUCCUUUUAAGCCGUUGGCACCUCUGUGCCACCUCUCACACUGGCUCCAGACACAGCCUGUGCUUCUGGCAGCUGAGAUCACUCACUUCCCCCUCCUCAUCUUUGUUGGAGCUCCAAGUCAAGCCACGAGGUCAGGGCGAGGGCAGAGGUGGUCACCAGCGUGUCCCAUCUACAGACCUGUGGCUUCGUAAGACUUCUGAUUUCUCUUCAGCUUUGAAAAGGGUUACCCUGGGCACUGGCCUAGAGUCUCACCUCCUAAUAGACUUACCCCCAUGAGUUUGCCAUGUUGAGCAGGACAAUUUCUGGCACUUGCAAGUCCCAUGAUUUCUUCGGUAAUUGUGAGGGUGGGGGGAGGGACAUGAAAUCAUCUUAGCUUAGCUUCCUGUCUGUGAAUGUCUAUAUAGUGUAUUGUGUGUUUUAACAAAUGAUUUACACUGACUGUUGCCGUAAAAGUGAAUUUGGAAAUAAAGUUAUUACUCUGA
ensembl:lncRNA